rnacentral:misc_RNA from 1 species
UUCGAAGGUCCCAAGCGUUAAUCGGAAUUACUGGGCGUAAAGGGUGCGUAGGUGGCAGGGAAAGUUCGAUGUGAAAUCUCCGGGCUCAACCCGGAAAUGGCAUUGAAAACUAUCUUGCUUGAGGGUCGGAAGGGAGACUGGAAUUCUCGGUGUAGCAGUGAAAUGCGUAGAUAUCGAGAGGAACACCAGUGGCGAAGGCGGGUCUCUGGACGACACCUGACACUGAGGCACGAAAGCUAGGGGAGCAAACAGG